CCAGUAUGACUAGUAAGCGUUUUUAACGUCCAGCGUUGCUAGCAAAACAACUAGGCGGUAGUAUGCAUUUUCUCUUUACGUAGCUCUGGCUGCCUGAACCUCUUCAUCAAUAGCUCCCAUUUUGGAUUUUCCAGGUCUGAGCCCGUGUUGCCUGGGGCUACGUUCUCUAG